UUAGAUAAAAUAGAAGGAAGGAAGCAAGCAAGCAAAGAAAGCCUCCCCCUCUCCUCUUUCCUUUGCUCCGCCUCCAAAACUUCUCUCUCCUUCUUUCAUGCUCUCUUCUCUCCAAGCAAACUACAGGAUCUUGAGUGAAUGGAGAAGGAACAGAAAACACAGAGGCCGAGAGUAGCGGAGCCCGAGCUCUUACUGCAGUGGGGGAACAGGAAGCGUCUCCGCUGCGUCAAGAUUCGGGAUGAUGCUGGAGGGUCGUCGCCGGCCAGAUCCGACGGCGAGAGGCGCGCCACGUCACGCCGGCGUGUCAUCAGAGGGGCGCUGUUGGAUAGCAGCAAGGAUUGCAAUAAGGAGUUUCCCUCUUCUCCUCUGGUUUCCUCCCCCUUCAUUCAUAAUAGGAAAUCCGAAUCGGCUGGCAGUGAGAAGAGGAAGUCACAGUCGAUUUCACCAUCACCGGAGAAAGAAGAUCGGUUCUAUACCACGAGAGGGUCAGUGGUUGGUUGUGAAGAGAAAGAGAAUGGACACAUGAACGGAUUUGGUAUUGGAAUUGGUGGAGACAAUGAAGGGGGAGUUAUGGUUCUCCCUAGAUUCUUUGUUUCUCUUUCAAAUAAAGAGAAGGAAGACGAUUUCAUGGCAAUGAAAGGGUGUAAGUUGCCUCAAAGACCAAAGAAGAGGUCUAAGCACAUUCAAAAGUGCAUACUCUUAGUGAGUCCUGGAGCUUGGCUAACAGAUCUAACACAGGAGAGAUAUGAAGUCAGGGAGAAAAAGAGCUCAAAAAAGAGGAAGAGAGGUUUGAAAGCAAUGACCAUGGAGAGUGAUUCAGAGUGAUAAUUUAGAGGCAGCAGGUACUAGAUUGUCUUCGAACCUUUAUUAGGGUUGUAAAUUUUCUUGUUUCCUUCUGUUGUUUCUUAUGAGAAUGGAAUGUAAUGGGAAAGAAUCUUCAUUUUUUGGCCUGUUACCAAUCUGAAAUAUUCAAAAAAAUAUUCAAAGCGAGAUGGUUCUUUUUUUCCC